CAUUGGUUUGCACCAGCGGCCCAGACAAAGGGAGCGGCCGCUGCGGGAGGCGAUUGGGCGGAGCUAGGCGGGAGCCCGGAGACGGGCGGGGACGCUGCCCUCGCGGAGGCGGGGAGGGGUCCUCCACGUGGGUGGGGCUCGGCGCCCCCCGAGGGCCGUGGCCGCGGGGCGCUGGUACCCCUCCCGCCCCCGGGCUUCUGCCUGGACCGCGGCCGCUGCCUCCUCUUCCCGGAGGUCUCAGAGUCCGUCCCGGUCUCGCAGUAGGGAACCCGGAUACGCAGGAGCGAGCCUGGAUGCAGAAGGGCGCGCGGGAGCCUGGAGCUGCAGCGCGAACGAACCGCAGGUCUGCGUCUAGGCAGCCCCACUCCCUCCCUCCCUCCCGAUCCGGAGGAAGGACCGCGGGGAGCCCUGCGAGCGGACGGUGGCCCCAGAGCUGGCACGGGCCUUGGCUUUGGAGAAAGGAUCCUGCUCCCGGAAAGGAGGGCCGAGUGUCCGCUCCGGCUCCCUGGAGACUUAGCUCGGCGGUGUGCGAGGCCGGGGAGGGCGGGACAGGCCUGGGGGCGACCAGCCGGGCGGGGAGUGGCUUCUGGGGGCUCCCUAGGCGACGGAAGGCCCGCGCGAGGCCGCCCUCGGAGCGGUGCCAGGUACGUGCGCUCCUGGUUUCCCGCGCGCCCACAGCCGUCGCUGGGGAGGGACGAAUAAGAACCUAGCUGCUGGGCAUGAGAUUUUCGCAGCAAGCGUGGCUUUCUGAGGGGUCCCGGGACGGCUGCCGGACUCGGGGAGCCCCUGCGCGGUGCUCUGGAACCCCUCGCCGCGGGGCGCGCCCGCAGACCUCCCCGGCUCUCCGGACUCCGUGGGUACCACAGCCGGAUGGCUCUGAUUCGUAGUCGUUCAUACGGCCACCCCCACCCGGAAACCUGGGAUUCCUGCUUUCGGAUCCGGGGUGUUUACUUUGGAGAUGUAGGGACCUCAGUUGGAGGGAACUCGCGUUAGGGAGACCCGGCCUUGGCUGCUGCUGCUGGGCGGGGGUCCAGGAAGGAACCCCUCCUGGCCCCGGGAACUUCACAUUUACGCGCCGCAGCUGAGUCAGAAGUGUCCCGCUGCCUUACCUGAUAAUGGGAUUUUACACGGUCUGCAAAGGGUGGCUUCGUGAGAAGACCGUUUCAGAAGAGGAAAUGGGCCUCUGGCCGACGGUGGGGUUUUAGAAACCCCUGUGGAGUGAAAAAGUACUCCCGGCCGCUUUGCGCAAGAUUGCAGAGUAAGGGACAGUUUCUCAGGGACACAUCUGGACAGUGUAGCCUACAAGACACAGGAGUGGACACCAAAAAACCUGGAUAGUGCUGACCCGGGCGGUCCAAGACCUGGACUGGGCCGGGCGGUGGUGGCUGGCACACAACUUUAAUCCCAGGACUCAAGAGGCAGAGGCAGGCAGAUGUCUGUGAGUUCGAGGCCAGCCUGGUCUACAGAGCAAGUUCCAGGACAGCCAGACUGUUACACGGAGAAACCCUGUCUCUGGAAAAACAAAAACAAAGAAGACCUGGACUGGACUGUACGCCGGCAUAGGGGAGGAGAGAAUCACACAUACACAGCGUGCUAGAGGACGGAUGAGUGCAGUGACGGUGGAGGCUUCUGAGGCCUCAAGAUGACCUCCUCACCUGUUGACAGGCUACUCUGCUUGCUGCCAGCCAAGCUGACCUCCAGGCCCGGCCCGGAACUCUUCCAGGUAACAGACUCAACCUUUCUGCUUGCUCACAGUGACAGCUCGGGCGUGUGGGUUGCCCGAAUGCAGCUCCACCUGGGUAAAUGUGGCCCUGCAGGAGCUGGGACUCAUGGAGACAGGAGGGACAAUCACACCA
ensembl:lncRNA